CCGAGAAGCUUCCGCCCAACCCUUUCCAGGUGCCGCUCCCCUGCGCAUUCCAGAGCAGUACUCUCCAAGGUGGGAAACCUAGGAGUUUGGAGUCUCCUCCGGGAUGGAGAAGCUGCCGCUAGCUUAGUUCGCUUUGGGGACCGGAGGGGCUAGAAAGGAAACUGGGGGCGGGGGUGGGGGGUGGACACUGGGCAGGACUGAGCAUCAGCAAGGCGUGAUUCUGAAAGGCAGGGGGCGUCGGCCCCUUACCCCGGAGCGUCCGAGGCGCUGGUCUUCAUACCUGUGUCGGCUCUUUCGAAGGAGAGAGGAGGAGUCGGGGUCUUCACUUUCUUCUCAGCCGCAUUAAAAGCCCUCGCAGUUCUCCAGGUUUCCGAGGGCCAGUGUUCUGGGUCAGUGAAAGGGCUCUGGCCACAGCUGGCUGUUGGUGUCCUGGGCCUCUCUACGCAGCUGUAAAAUGGGGAUGACACCAUCUGGUUUUGCUCAGAGGAAUCCGGUUUGGGAAAGGGAUGUGUUUUCUUCCCGGGCCAAGUUACCACCACCCGCGGCGCCCACUGUUCCCCGUUGUCGACAAGCGGCGCCAGCGAGGGUCCUGGGGAACUUGACCACCGCACCCCCGCAAGCUCGGGUAGACCACGGCAUCCGCCCCUCGCACCUUUCCUGAGGGCCCACACACUCACACCCCCAGGACAGUACCUUCCAGAACUCAGCUGCGCAGCCUGGAGGUGAGGACCUCACCCCUAGUCAGUCACCCGUCCGGUGGAGGGAAGGGAGGCACCAAGGCUGCCGUGCGCCUUUCCCUGCACGCGGUUACUCUCCCGGCUCCAGAGCGGGCCGACCUGGAGCCCCUCAGUGCGCUCUGGUCGUCUACACCCUGAAACCCUUUGAGUUCGAGUCCGCUUGCUGGUGCUUGAGUUCGCCGCGUCCCUGCAAAGGCACUGCCAACCCCAUUUCACAGACCGCAAACCGAGGCGCGAGGAAGAGCAGCGCCUUGCCAAGGCUCCACAACACGCCCCUCGCCCUCUCCGUGCACCGAGGCCGCCCAGCCUGGGACCUGGAGAUCACCAGGCCUUGAACCUUGGGACCUCAACUCCUCUCCCUUUCUUUCCCCCACCCGUCUUAGAUGCAAGGAGAAAGAUUUAGAAGCGCUUAUUUUAAAAUCGGAAUCCGUAUUCCGCUCUGGAAUUCCCUCUGGAAUGGAGGGACUGUGGCAACGCCAGUGUGGGGGUGGAGUGGGCGAGGCGGGGGGGGGGGUUGGGGGGGCGGCCCAGAGACGCCUCCGGUUGCUGCUCCACUUUCUUAUCCUGAGAGGCAGCUGCGUUUCUGCAACCUAUGGGCAACAUGUUUGAAAGAGCUGAUUAAAUGCUUUCCAGUGGUUUCGCCACGAGCCUGCUAA
rnacentral:antisense_RNA from 1 species